GCAUGGAUUUGGAUUUAUGGCGGGCCUGUCCCCCUGGGCCUCUCAUAGUGUCCCAUGCCAGAGCAAACUGUGACCCCGAACCAUUGCCUGGCCUGUGCCCAUAGGCUGCUGGCACUGAUGUGGGUUGCACAGUG
rnacentral:snoRNA from 1 species